CAGCUCCUUCCUUCACCUGUUUCUCUAUGAACCUGCGGUAGGCCUCGGGGUCAUUUUGAGAGAAAUCAUCCAGGAUGGACCAGAACUGGUUGACUUGCUGUAAAACAUCCCCUGUACUGCCAGAGGAGGACAUCUCCAGAUCCAACCCAAGAAUUCAGCCACUUUGGUGUAAACUCCUGGAUGGUUGGCCUCAGCACAACCUGUCCCCCAGCUGACGACACCCACCAGCCUCCACACAUUUUCAUCCUGGCAAACCAGAGGACCUCCACUGUCUCCCUGAAGAGGGGUUUAAGGGGCUGACCAUGUAACCACGUCGUCUCUCCAGCACCAGUCCAGCUCGACAGAAUCUAAACUGAGAGGCUGGUGAAUAAAGGAGGAAUGAAUGGAAAAACAACAGAGCAGGUCGUGAAGCAGAAGUUAUCCAUCAUCGAGCUGAAGCGUCCAGCCUGGUCCCCGCUGAGAGGCUCCUCUCUACUGAUGCAAAGGAAUGCAUAUCAAAUAGCCUGCGAGACAGCCUGUUGUGUGAGGCACGCUUCUGCACAAAUAAUCAAACAGAAUUUAGAAAAUAAAGCUUUGCAAAUAACAGCGACACCAGGGCCUCUUUAUAUCAAAUCCCUCACAAGGACCCGAUUCAAAACUUCCCGAGACGUCUCACUGUUAAAACAUAAGAGCAGGUGUCCCUGAGAAUAGAUUAACAUAUUUGCUGUUGCUCCUUCCAGCUUUUAACUCUCAUGGUAUUUUAAAAUGAUGGGGGUUGGAGGGGGGGGGGAAUCCUGCAGACCAAGAAGCAGUUCAAUUCAAGAGACACGUGUCCAGUGCUUUUCCUAACCACAUAAUCAACUACUUAGCUCACAUUCAUCAUACCGCACAAGCCGACAUGCACCUGCACAUG